rnacentral:tRNA from 1 species
UCCCUGGUGGGCCAGUGGCUGAGACGCUGCACUGCCAAUGCAGGGGGCUCCGGUUCAAUUCCUGGUCAGGGAA